rnacentral:misc_RNA from 1 species
UUAGUUUCGUUUCAUCGUAUGGGAUCCGAAGAUCGCCUUGGAUGAGUUACAAUCAGAGUGAAUUGGUCAAUCGCACUUGAAACAAGUGGAUAUAAAAUGACCAAGACGCGUCAAACGCAUCCUGGCAAAGGUGCUCAAUCUUUCGAUCUCCCACCAUAAAUAAAGGGUUCCACGUAACCGAAGACGAGACGGUGUUACCCGAAUCGAAUUCUUAUGAAUAAGGUGUGAUAAUGAUCCUUCCGCAGGUUCACCUACGGAAA